AGCAGAGUGGCGCAGCGGAAGCAUGCUGAGCCCAUAACCCUGAGGUCGAUCGAUCGAAACCAUCCUCUGCUA
rnacentral:tRNA from 1 species